UACGGGGGGAGCAAGCGUUGUUCGGAUUUACUGGGCGUAGAGGGCGCGUAGGCGGCCAGCACAAGUCAGUUGUGAAAUCUCCGAGCUUAACUCGGAAAGGUCAACUGAUACUGUGCGGCUGGAGUACGGUAGGGGCAGAGGGAAUUUCCGGUGGAGCGGUGAAAUGCGUAGAGAUCGGAAAGAACACCAACGGCGAAAGCACUCUGCUGGGCCGACACUGACACUGAGAGACGAAAGCUAGGGGAGCGAAUGGG
rnacentral:rRNA from 1 species